rnacentral:rRNA from 1 species
GCCAUGCAAGUCCAAGUACACGUCCUUGAACGACGGAAACUGCGAACGGCUCAUUAAAUCAGUUGCGAUCUACUCGGCGUUCCGCGCCGCCGGAUAACCGUAGUAAUUCUAGGGCUAAUACGUGCGAAGCGCCCGAAGCCGCGAGGCGACGGGCGUUCUCGCCGGAUGUAGGAACCGACCCGGGGACCGCCGGGGCAACCCCGGCGCCCCCGAGACGGGGCGAACCACGGUGAAAUGACGGAUCGUCGGCCCCGCGCCGGCGACUCGCCGAAUGAGUUUCUGACCUAUCAACUCGAGACGGCGGGGUAGAGGCCCGCCGCGGUAACGACGGGUAACGGGGAAUCAGGGUUCGAUUCCGGAGAGGGAGCCCGAGAAACGGCUACCACUUCCAAGGAAGGCAGCAGG